AGUGAACGCUGGCGGCGUGCCUAAUACAUGCAAGUCGAACGAAGUUGCUCACGGGUGAGUAAUAUAUAGUUAAUCUGCCCUACACAGAGGAACAACAGUUGGAAACAGCUGCUAAUACCUCAUAGUGUAGGAUGAGACUAUAUCGGAUCAGCUAGUUGGUAAGGUAAUGGCUUACCAAGGCUAUGACGCGUAACUGGUCUGAGAGGAUGAGCAGUGACAUUGGAACUGAGACACGGUUGAAAAGCCUACGGGAGGGAGCAGUAAGGAAUAGUGCGCAAUGGGGGAAAACCUGACGCAGCAACGCCGCGUGGAGGAUGACACUUUUCGGAGCGUAAACUCCUUUUAUCAGGAAAGCGGUACCUGAUGAAUAAGCACCGGCUAACUCCGUGCCAGCAGCCGCGGUAAUUC
rnacentral:rRNA from 1 species